rnacentral:rRNA from 1 species
UACAGAGGGUGCGAGCGUUGUUCGGAAUUACUGGGCGUAAAGCGCUUGUAGGCGGCACGUCAAGUCGCGUGUGAAAUCCCCAGGCUUAACCUGGGAAGUGCGCGCGAAACUGACGAGCUUGAGUGCCGGAGAGGGUCGCGGAAUUCCCGGUGUAGAGGUGAAAUUCGUAGAUAUCGGGAGGAACACCAGUGGCGAAGGCGGCGACCUGGACGGACACUGACGCUGAGACGCGAAAGCGUGGGGAGCAAACAGG